rnacentral:rRNA from 1 species
CUCGUAGGCGGUUUGUUGCGUCGGCUGUGAAAUCCCGAGGCUCAACCUCGGGUCUGCAGUCGAUACGAGCAAACUGGAGUGUUGCAGGGGAGACUGGAAUUCCUGGUGUAGCGGUGAAAUGCGCAGAUAUCAGGAGGAACACCGGUGGCGAAGGCGGGUCUCUGGGCAACAACUGACGCUGAGGAGCGAAAGCGUGGGGAGCGAACAGGAUUAGAUACCCUGGUAGUCCACGCCGUAAACGUUGGGCGCUAGGUGUGGGGCUCAUUCCACGAGUUCCGUGCCGCAGCUAACGCAUUAAGCGCCCCGCCUGGGGAGUACGGCCGCAAGGCUAAA